rnacentral:rRNA from 1 species
UGCCUCAUACAUGCAAGUCGAACGAGGUCUUCGGACCUAGUGGCGCACGGGUGAGUAACAUGUGGGAAUCUGCCUGAAGGUUCGGAAUAACUGCGGGAAACUGUAGCUAAUACCGGAUGUGUCUGUAAAGAGAAAGAUUUAUCGCCUUCAGAUGAGCCCGCACUAGAUUAGCUAGUUGGUGAGGUAAUUGCUCCACCAAGGCUACGAUCUAUAGCUGAUUUGAGAGGAUGAUCAGCCACACUGGGACUGAGACACGGCCCAGACUCCUACGGGAGGCAGCAGUAGGGAAUAUUGGACAAUGGGGGAAACCCUGAUCCAGCAAUGCCGCGUGAGUGAAGAAGGCCUUCGGGUUGUAAAACUCUUUCAUCAAUGAUGAUAAUGACAUUAGUUGAAGAAGAAGCUCCGGCUAACUUCGUGCCAGCAGCCGCGGUAAUACGAAGGGGGCUAGCGUUGUUCGGAAUCACUGGGCGUAAAGCGUAUGUAGGCGGAUCAAAAAGUUAGAUGUGAAAUCCCUGGGCUCAACCCAGGAACUGCAUUUAAAACUAGUGAUCUAGAAUUUGGUAGGGGUUAGUAGAAUUUCCAGUGUAGAGGUGAAAUUCGUAGAUAUUGGAAAGAAUACCAGUGGCGAAGGCGACUAACUGGGCCAUUUUUGACGCUAAGAUACGAAAGCGUGGGUAGCAAACAGGAUUAGAUACCCUGGUAGUCCACGCAGUAAACGAUGAGUGCUAGUCGCUGGGACAAUAGUUUCAGUGUCGAAGCUAACGCAUUAAGCACUCCGCCU